GCUCAGCCCUAAACCUUAGUAGUUAUUACAACAAUACUACUCGCCAGAGUACUACUAGCAACAGCCUAAAACUCAAAGGACUUGGCGGUGCUUUAUAUCCCUCUAGAGGAGCCUGUUCUGUAAUCGAUAAACCCCGAUAAACCUCACCAGUCCUUGCUAAUACAGCCUAUAUACCGCCAUCUUCAGCAAACCCUAAAAAGGAGCCACAGUAAGCCAAACCAUAUAACAUAAAAACGUUAGGUCAAGGUGUAGCCAAUGGGCCGGGAAGAAAUGGGCUACAUUUUCUAACAUAGAACAUAACGAAACUUUUCGUGAAACCGAAAACGGAAGGAGGAUUUAGUAGUAAAUUAAGAAUAGAGAGCUUAAUUGAAUAAGGCCAUGAAGCACGC
rnacentral:rRNA from 1 species